GAUGAAUGCUGGCGGCGUGCCUAACACAUGCAAGUCGAGCGGUAACAGGAGUAGUUUACUACUUGCUGACGAGCGGCGGACGGCUGAGUAACGCGUGGGAACAUGCCCCAAAGUGAGGGAUAAGCUCCAGAAAUGGAGUCUAAUACCGCAUAUGAUCUUCGGAUUAAAGGAUUUAUCCGCUUUGGGAGUGGCCUGCGUACGAUUAGAUAGUUGGUGAGGUAAUGGCUCACCAAGUCGACGAUCGUUAACUGGUCUGAGAGGAUGAUCAGUCAGACUGGAACUGAGACACGGUCCAGACUCCUACGGGAGGCAGCAGUGAGGAAUCUUCCACAAUGGGGGCAACCUUGAUGGAGCAACGCCGCGUGCAGGAUGAAGGCCUUCGGGUCGUAAACUGCUUUUAUAAGUGAAGAAUAUGACGGUAACUUAUGAAUAAGCACCGGCUAACUACGUGCCAGCAGCCGCCGUA
rnacentral:rRNA from 1 species